GGAGUUGGGGGUGGGGGGGAACCUGACUCUCUAGGACAAGAAGACGGGCAGCUGUUUCCCUGGCCCCUCACUCCCAGGAUGGCUGAGGCUUCUGUACUGUGAGGAUAUGAAAUAGUUGAGAGGGGCUCCCAGGAGACAGAAGGAACAGGAGAUGGAGGGAAAGAGGACUGGAGGUGUGUGGUGGGGCCCCUCCCAGUGGACAGACCGUGAUGCAGGCGGCUCAUCAUUUGUCCUUUGGGAACCCUGCUGGAGUUACUCCUUCCUCUAUCAGUGAGGAAAUGGAAGCCCAGAGGGUUCCAGAUCAGUGAAGAAAGAAUCUGAAGAUUCCGGCCUCCAGAAUCCCAGUCUCCUUGCACUUCCUCCAUCCACAGCAGUGCAGGAGUGACCUGUGACUUGAAGCAAGAGGCCAAGAACAAACAAAUGACAAGGAACCAUCAAAAUAAAAAGCAUAAAAAGAGCACUCUUCUAUUUUCAGCAAAUAAAAAUCAUGAGAUCUUCCAACCUCAACCUCCAUCAUAUUGCAGCUGAGAGACAGAAGCCUUCCCAAGACCAAGGAGCAUGUCAGGAGACAGAGCAGGAGUAAAGCCCAGUCUCUUCUUCCCCACACCCAGGUCUUUCCAGCAUGGUACUUGGAGCCAAGAGGAGAGCUGGCUAGACCACACAGAGCUCUGGCUAGCCAGAGCAUGCACACACCAUGAAGAAAGUGAGCAGACUCCAAUGCCAGUUUAGUCCACUUGGACCAGAAGAGUUCCACCCUCCUCCUGAUAUUCCUGCUAUCCAGGAGCAGCUGAACCCUGUUCCUGAAGACGUGUUGGGGAGACACUUACUGGUUGAGUUGCUGCGUGCCCUUUGGUGGCAGGCUUUAGGAAACAGGAAGUUACUACUUUGUGCUUCUAGUUUUCCAGGCUUUUCUCGAGAGGAAGCUGUGGAAGAUUCCUGCAAAACAAUUGCCGUCUUUUUAUUCAGCAAGUUAGAAUAGAAAACUGCUCAGCAAAAUUGGAUUUUGACACUGAUCAUAGAAGUACUCAGAUUGUCUGUCUCCCCUACUACAUGAUAAGCACCAUAAGAGCCGGGAUUUAGAAUCACCAUCAUCCUUUCACUCAUAGACAUACAUUCAUUUGUUCAAUUACAAAUAUUGAAUUAAUAAAUUACAUUAAUAAUAAACUAAUACGACACAAAUUGAAUGACUCCAUGAGCUAUUACAUGUCAAGUUCUUUGUUAGACAUUGUGCAUACAGUUGUGACCAAGACAGACAAGGAUGUUGAUCUUGGGGAAAAUGCAUUUUAGUGAAAGAUGACUGACAAUAAACAAGCAAAGUAAAGGUGAAAGAUAAUUACAGAGAAUGAUAAGUGCUCUGAAGAAAAGAACUAGAGAGUGAUGUGGAUAGGUAGCCUGGCAGGUGUGUUUGAGAGAGAAGGAUCAAGCAAGUUACAUUGUUCUGCCAUACCUGGCACAUAAUAGGCACUUACAAAUACUUGUUGAAUGAAUGUUAUAUGUUAUAUAAAUGGAUUUCUUAAUAUUGAACUAUCCAUGCAUUAUUAAGGGUAUUAUGAUUUUACUAUAUAUAUAUGUGUGUGUAUAUAUAUAUAUUUAUAUAUCUGUCCUCAUCCUGGAAUUUUAGGGAUGGGUGUAGGGAUAUGGGCUAAUAAUGAGGAUGAUGGUAUUAAUUAUUUUAUCUUUCUGAAACAGUUUUCUGAUUGAUUGUUAUUCUAUUAUAUAUCUUUGUUAUCAACAAUGAUCUUGACUUAA